rnacentral:rRNA from 1 species
GAUGAACGCUGGCGGCGUGCCUAAUACAUGCCAGUCGAGCGAACAGACGAGGCGCUUGCUCCUCUGACGUUAGCGGCGGACGGGUGAGUCACACGUGGAUAACCUACCUAUAAGACUGGGAUAACUUCGGGAAACCGGAGCUAAUACCGGAUAAUAUAUUGAACCGCAUGGUUCAAUAGUGCAAGACGGUUUUGCUGUCACUUAUAGAUAGAUCCUCGCCGCAUUAGCUAGUUGGUACGGUAACGGCUUACCAAGGCGACGAUGCGUAGCGGACCUGAGAGGAUGAUAAGCCACAAGGGAACUGAGACACGGUCCAGAAUCAAACGGGAGGGAGCAGUGGGGAAUAUUGGACAAUGGGCGAAAGCAUGAUAGAGCGAUGCCGAGUGUGUGAAGAAGGUCUUCGGAUUGUAAAGCACUUUAAGUUGGGAGGAAGGGAAGUAAGUGAAUACCUUGCUGUUUUGACGUUACCAACAGAAUAAGCACCGGCUAACUUCGUG